UACACACCGCCCGUCACACCAUGGAAGUUAGUUGUACCGGAAGUCGGUAACUCAACCCGCAAGGGAGGUAGCCGCCCAUGGUAUGGCUGAUGACUGGGGUG
rnacentral:rRNA from 1 species